UAUGCAUAAUAGAAGAAAAAGGUAAAGACCCGCUUCAGUCAUGAAUGUCCAUGGGAUUGCACCUAGAUAGUUACCAUUCGAGGUAAAAGUCCAGGAAAGGUUGU